UUUGACAGCCCAACUGCAUCAUACUAGCUAUUUCCCCUGCAAAUCAGGAUCUUGCUACAUCUGAUGCCAUUAAGAUCUCUCGUGAAGUUGAUCCAAAAGGUUCUGUUUGGCUGCGAAUGUGAUUAUAGGUUACUCUUGCUGGAUUUAGGAAUGGCAAGUUUUCGACAUUGGUGGCUACAAAUGUUGCUGCUCGUGGUCUAGAUAUCAAUGAUGUGCAGUUAAUUAUUCAGCUCAAUGGAGGAAUUUCAGUCAUCUAUAGAUAUGGAGUCCCAUAGGAGUUCACCAGAGAAUGACCUUUUAUCGUCUGUAGCUUUGUCAGGUCCUUUAUUUCGGAGCACAAUCUAUCAUCUGAAAGUACCAGGGUCUUCAAUUACGUCUCUGGGACCAGAAUAUACACUUCAAAACAAGUCAUAUAGCCUAUAUAGUGAUAAAAGACAAUGUAGAAGCUUGACUGAAACUACAGUAUAUGAGAAAAAAAUUGGCUUCUACACCUUUUAUUUGAAGGUGGACCCUUCUUGGCCUCUCUGCAUGUACGAGUUACGUGGAAGGUGCAAUAAUGAUGAAUGUUCUUGGCAACAUUUCAAGGAUUUCUCUGAUGACAGUUUGCAAAAAAGAAACAGCAUGCAAGAGACAUGUUUAGUGAAAGUGAUAGAUAUCAAAGCUUGUAUGAGUUUGGUUGUAUGAAUGUUUGUAUUGGAAAAUAUUGUUUUGCAAAAAUUUGAAAUUUUUUUCUUAAGAACCAACCAUUGGAGAACAUUUUUGUUAAGAUAUUCUCUUUGUAUCUUAGCUUUCAAAAAGCAAAAUUUUAAUUUUAAAUAAUGUUAAGAGCAAAA